rnacentral:rRNA from 1 species
CCUACGGGAGGCAGCAGUGAGGAAUAUUGGUCAAUGGGCGCAAGCCUGAACCAGCCAAGUCGCGUGAGGGAUGACGGUCCUAUGGAUUGUAAACCUCUUUUGUCGGGGAGCAAGGCCCGCCACGUGUGGCGGGAAGGAGAGUACCCGAAGAAAAAGCAUCGGCUAACUCCGUGCCAGCAGCCGCGGUAAUACGGAGGAUGCGAGCGUUAUCCGGAUUUAUUGGGUUUAAAGGGUGCGUAGGCGGAAGGCUAAGUCAGCGGUAAAAUGUCGGUGCUCAACACCGGCCUGCCGUUGAAACUGGUCUUCUUGAGUGAGCGAGAAGUAUGCGGAAGGCGUGGUGUAGCGGUGAAAUGCAUAGAUAGCACGCAGAACUCCGAUUGCGAAGGCAGCAUACCGGCGCUCAACUGACGCUGAGGCACGAAAGCGUGGGGAUCGAACAGGAUUAGAUACCCCGGUAGUC